CGUCAUUAUCUUCCCCUACUGUCUCUCUCAUCAAGUAACAACCGGACCAGGGUACUGUUGCUCGGGUUACUUAUGACUUUACUUCCCGAUCCUUCCACCCUGAUCCUUCCACAAUUUCCUUUUAUCCCUUUUCCAAAUUCCACCGUCUCCCAACCUUCUUUUUCUCCACCAUUUCUACCUUCUUCUUCACCACCGACUCCAAUAUUCCGAUGACGGAAGGAGUCGCCAGAGGUGGAGAAGCAGCCCGAUAACACGCUGACAGAGGCCAACGCCACUGCUGUCGUAUUUUUUUUACCUCGAUCAUCACCACCAUCAGCCGCUCAUAUGGACCUGCGAUUAGGGCUUGAUGAAGACCAUCGCUCCUGUCGGACUCUCUACACGUAUGGUCGAAGAAGGAACACACUUGAACUGAGAAAUGAUUGAGAUUUUCCCUAACAGUUCCGAAUCAGAGAACCGGUAAUUGAAGAAUCUCCUUUCCAGGCUGCUAAAGAAACAUAAUACCCCUGACGAUAGUUGAAGGACUACGCUUUACGUUUGGUGCUCCUGUUGAUGAAUCACAGGUAAGUUUCCUCAUUCUACCUCUACAUCUUUCUCAACUUAUUCAUUCUUUCUCUACUAAACACAUUUUGGGUUCUGUAAAAGAAAUCAAAAGUUUUUUUAGGAGUGGCCACAUUGGAGACGAAGAGGGUUGGGAGACGAUGGAAUCUUGAAGGACCUGUAUUGUCAGGCUGUGCACCUGCUACCUUGAUACUGCUUAUUUCAUCCAAUAUCAGUAUAUCACGACUCCUCGAAGAGCUGAACUGAAAUUGAACCUAACUCGACUCUAGAUAUGGUUUCUUCUUCAUCUUCAUUGUGGUCCGCAAAUGCCAAUCUUCUACUCCAACCACAAUCCUGUUCAUCUUUCUCCAACUAUCGACACUCUGUAAUACCAACCAGGUAAAUCCAACUAUUUCCAGUCUCCAGUUUGGUUGAAUUUUGUUGCUUUAAUAGUCAUUUUAAGUUUUCUUGACUUUAUAUGGUUAAUUUCAAUAAAAGAGUUUAGAACACGAUUGGGUCUUCUUGAAAUGUGAUACUUUUCUUAGCUCAUGAAAUUUUUUUACUCAUCUGAUUAGUUUCCAGUUCAAAUUUUUAUAUCACAUUUCUAAAAUUAUGCUUGAUUGAUUUGUUUCCAGUUCAGAAAUCAUAUAUGUAAGCUUCUCAUUAAGUUUCAUCUUAUAUGACAAGUUUCCCAAUUCAUGAUUUAGAAAGAAAAUUGACCUAAAACAUUAUAUAUAUAUUUUAAGUGGCUCCUAUUAAGAAAUCUGUUGGAAGAAAGAGAAACAGAAAAUGGCUCAAACCCUAAAACAUCAUAUAUUUUAAGAACUCAUCUUUUAUGAAUUCAAUUUUUUUUCCUUUUUGAUUUUUGCCGGAUGGUGUUUAAAAAAAAAAGAUUAAUUUGUGACCUGAUUAAUUCCAAUGCAUGUGAUUAAAAACUCUUAACCAUCAUAAAAAGGCACACGAACUUGGGUGGCGACAUUGCAGUAAGUUAUUCAAUCAUUUUAUAAAAAUUUAACAGUUUCAUUUUAAUUAGGUUACUGAUGUAUGCUUUUAUCCUUUACACAAACAACAGUGCAACACAAUUGGUAUUAAGGGCUCAUAAAGAGGCUGUCAACUCAUUAGCUGGAAAUAUUUACGGAUUUACCCUUGGGUUCAUUUUCAGACAAUUGAGCCCUUAACCAUUACAAAAUCCACUUUUCUAUGUAUGAGUGGCGUGUUGUUCCACUUUUCUUGAUGUUUUAAUCGGAAAGUGUUCUUCACAGAUUUAAAAUAGGCUUGUAGGUGUCACACCCCCGAACCGUCAGAAAAACAACGGUGGAAACGUUCGGGGGCGGCGGCCUUAUAUGUAGUAUCACAACAAUCGUAUCAUAGCAAUCAAAGUAAAUACAACCUUUACAUUACAAUAUGAAUAUUUACAUCUGUUUGAAAACAUAGUUUGUACAAAACAUUAUAUCACAAAAGAUAAAGACGAGAUUCAAAAAAAAAUGCUCCGUCUUCUCCAAAAGCUGGCUAGGUACCUGUCUAUCGUUGCCUUGAGAAUACAAGCGGUUUUGAAAACAUAUCAGCAUAAAGCUGGCGUCGUACGAUUACAAAAUUUGUCACCCCAGGUGUGCCCGCCUAACUGUAGCUAACAAUUCAAGUGUCGUAUUGUCGGUCCCGAAUAGAUCUAUCCACAAAUUUCACGCUCUCCCUCCAGGAGACUUUGGUUAUACCAGCAGUGCGGAUUUAUUGGUACCCUGAGUGGCAAAAACGAAGAUGGUCUCACAAUCCGGUUUUGAAUCAUUCGGGUUAUAUACUCAUCAGGUUCUGAAUCCCUCUUUCUCCUCUUUUAUUCUAUUUAUUUUCUACUAAAAUCAACUUUGUUUAGAUGAAAUACGUUCAUUCCAGCUCACUCUAUAAUGUUAUAUUGAAGUUUUACUGAUGGUCUACCGUUACAGUUCAAAGGUAAGAGCAAUAUUCGUUUUUUUCGUUUUGGUUUUAUGCUUGAUGUCUUGCUGACUAUUCAUCUGCUCGCUGAUGACUGUAGCUGGUAACUUUUGUUCUUAAAAUUACCAACCGAUUGUAAUUUUGUUGUCUACAAUGUUUGAAUUGCAUUAAUAAUGACUUUCUUUCAAUAUUCUCUUGGUCAAUCAUGCUACAAUGUAAGCACUGUAGAAUAUAUCAUUGGAAAAAGUUGGUGCAAGCUUCAAAAAAUCAAAAUCCGUUUUCAUUGGAAAGGUAAACAUUUGUCAUACUUGCAUAUAUUUUUAAGAUAAGUUUUCAUAAUUGCUUAAAUGUUCCAUACUUCCAAUGCUAUAAGGCCAAGGAGUGCCAAUUUGUGUUCAAACAUGGUAAGUUUAUAAAACUAUUGUAUUUUAAGGCAUGUUUUUGGAUACUUUUCUUUUAUUCUUUCUUUUAACUAUUUAUCAAAUGUUUUGUCCUGGUUACUUAAUCUAGAUAAUGUCUCUUUACACAUAUUAUUGUUCCAUGUUCCAGUUUUAUUAAUUUUCAAUAGUUUGAAAUCCCAUUCUAUAGUUAAUUAAUGGUGUAGUAUCUUUCCGAUGGACAAAUACAUUUUCUUUUCUGCAUGAAAUAAAUUAUAAUCUGUUUCCUGUAAGUUCUUGCAAACUCUGAUAAUUUAGUAAACACAAUUAACUGCAUCGAUCUUAAAGUGUUACGAUUAUUGAACUUUCAUCACUUCUACACAGAGCCACCACUUCUUUUCUAGAUUCCUCCAUUUGUGAAUGACACCUCUACACAGAGCCACCACACGAUCGACUCAUUACUCUUUGUCAAUCUACCACCUUAUCUUCCCCCCACCCGCUUUCUCAUCCAGUCAUAUUCAGAUUCCACUGCUCUGCACAAAGCAGG